rfam:Loxodonta africana unplaced genomic scaffold scaffold_51, whole genome shotgun sequence.
AAACAGGCUUUAUUUAAAGCUAUCUAAAGUUUAGACAAAGUGAAGU